rnacentral:rRNA from 1 species
GGGGGGGGGGGGGGGGGGGGGGGGGGGGGGGGGGGCGGGCGGGGGGGCGGGGGGCUUGCUUCUGUGAUGUUAGCGGCGGACGGGUGAGUACCACGUGGAGAACCUACCUAUGAGACUGGGGUAGCUUCGGGAAACCGGGGCUAAUACCGGAUAAUAUGUUGAACCGGCUGGUUCCACCGUGGAAGACGGUCUUGCUUCCACUCUAGAAGGACUCGCGCUGCAUUAGCUAGUUGGGAAGGUAACGGCUUACCAAGGCAACGAUGCAUAGCCGACCUGAGAGGGUGAUCGGCCACACUGGAACUGAGACACGGUCCAGACUCCUACGGGAGGCAGCAGUAGGGAAUCUUCCGCAAUGGGCGAAAGCCUGACGGAGCAACGCCGCGUGAGUGAUGAAGGUCUUCGGAUCGUAAAACUCUGUUAUUAGGGAAGAACAUAUGUGUAAGUAACUGUGCACAUCUUGACGGUACCUAAUCAGAAAGCCACGGCUAACUACGUG